UACGGAGGGUGCAAGCGUUAUCCGGAUUUACUGGGUUUAAAGGGUGUGUAGGCGGGCUGUUAAGUCAGUGGUGAAAUCUCCGGGCUCAACCCGGAAACUGCCAUUGAUACUAAUGGUCUUGAAUUUUGUUGAGGUAGGCGGAAUAAGUCAUGUAGCGGUGAAAUGCAUAGAUAUGUCACAGAACACCAAUUGCGAAGGCAGCUUACUAAAGUAUGAUUGACGCUGAGGCACGAAAGCGUGGGGAUCAAACAGG
rnacentral:rRNA from 1 species